CUUCCCCGGCCGCCUCCGCUCCCCCGGCCGCCUCUGCUCCCCGGCAGCUUCACCGCCGAGCGGCUUUAACUCCAACACAGAGCGAUGGGGCACUGCUGACCAGGGCAGGGUGCGGCACACGCAGCCACAGGCCACCAAGAAAGGGGUUGUACCCACAGAGCAUCGGAAAACUUGUCACAGAACACCUUGGGGCAGCUCUGCUAUUAAUCUGAUAUUAAUCUGAAAGGGAACGUUUAUUUCCCAGCUUUGAACAAAGACGCUUGGCAGUGGCUGUUGCACUCCUCAUUUAUUCACGCUUAAGCACAAUUCUGCUCACAGACUGCAGUAGCUGAAGAGCACGCAUUUGUCAAUAGACAGAAUAAUGCUCAUUGCAGCAGGACACCACAUUCCAUCGGCAGAAACGGUGACAGUGAAGAGACUUUGGAAUUGUCAGCUAACAGGUCCCUGUUUCUGGGGUUAUCAAGAGGCUUCCAUUUAUCUUCUGGCUGGAAAGAAGCACCCUUUGCCAAUCCUCUCACAGCCAAUACCAUGUACAGACCCAGGAGCAGCACUUUCCACAUGCUGGAGAUGAACAGAGUGUCUGUAAGAAGGGCAAACAGACAUACUACUUAAAUCCUACAGAGCUGUCACUGAUCAUGUGAAUCCAAGGAAAGUCUGCCCACUGCAGAUUACAUCCAUGUGCUAUCAACUCUUUGUUUUCAUAGUCUUAAGGUACUUGGAAGAAAAAAUUAUUCUAAACAAGUGUUUCCCACACCAAAGCUAUUUCUAGACACUGGACUCUCUUCUGAGGGACCAGUAGAAUACUCAGCACAACAUAUUACAUUUGUAAGUUUACAUUUAUUACAUAAAGCCAUUUUCAGUGGCUAAUACAGCACCAGAACUCUAUGUACUCCAAGGAGAAUGCAAAAAUAUGGCCCAAGAUCCAGACAGCUCAGUUUUUUAAAACUGCAUUACAUUUUACUACAUAUAAUAGUAAGUGCAAUGGUAUUUAAUACAGCCUGGUCUAACAUACUAGAGAUCCAUUUCACAACUUGACUCGGGGAGAAAAGGAAUUCUCCCUCUCUUUAAAAUAGAGCUUACCAGGGAAUUUGGCUUUGGCUUGCCCCUUCUUGGUUGGUCUCCUAGUAAUCUGUGAACAACCUGAUCUCUGCACUUAUAUUUCUAGUAGAAUGUAGGUGGGUGUCAAUGACGUUAGCAGGAGUUCAAAAAUACAGUAAUGAUUCCAUUUCCAACCACGACAUAAAGACCCUUGAGAAUUUCAUCCUUGAUACUCUUCAGACCUGUUGCUAUCGAACAGUGCAGUACAAAUUCCUCCCAAGCCAUAUUGCAGAAAAUUGGUAGUAGGCAUACAGGAAGUUUAAAACAAUUCCCAGGAGAAAUGGCACAGCUUUAUCAAAAUAUUAUUUUUAGUUAAAAGUAAUUAGCCAUAUCUCUAGCCUGGUGACUAAUGGUUUUCAAGCAAAUGAGAUAUGGAUCCCUCUCUUGAUGCUGGAAAAAGAGAGGGAAAAGUCCAAAAUCAUAAUAUUUUAAUGGAAGCAUUGCUUUCCUUCCCUGAUUUUAUCAGCAGUUAAUAUCCGCCUGUCACAUUAGAAACUGAGACAAGGGCUGCAAGGAGGACUCUGCUAAUUUACGUUGGCCUUAGUGCAUAGUGUUCUUCAUAUCAAAGCUGCUCAUAUUUUUUUAUUUCACUGCACUCUCUCUCUGCUAUGCAGAUGAUACAUGGUUUAAUAUCACAUAAAAAAUAUAUCCCUAAAUAGACAUGUUAAAAUUAAAAAUAUUUGACCAUCACCUUACUCCAGAGUGUAGAUGUUUAUGUCUGACUAGAAGCUUUACAUUUUUCUUUGGUUUAAAUUUUGAAAGCAAAAUAAAAAUCUGCCACAACCCUUCCAGGAAGGUGAUGUUUUGGACAUCCAAACAUCAUUAGCAACACAGUAAACAAAAUCCCAGCAGUGUUAUUCUUGUGACUACAGUAGUAUGUAAAAAAAUCAAGAUAAUUUAUCCAGCUUGUUUAUUAUUCUGCGUAUUUGGAUUUUAAAAAAAAUCAUUACCACAAAAAAGAAAACCCAUCAAGCCCCAUCAAUUAUAUUUCAUAACACUCAACUUCCAGAUAGUGAUCUCAUCAAGAACAGAGCAGUAGCACCAGAAUAACUUGAAAAAGGCAAGUCCCAGCAUAAGGGAACUCUCUUUGUUGGUCUUCUAGGUAGAUACUUAUUUCAGCUAGAAGUAGAAAUAUGCUCCUGUAGAGAAAAUGACAGAAAGGGGAAAGACAAGACUGACAGUUUGAUUUACAAGAUUUACAGUUAGAAUUUAGUUCCUUCUUUAGUUUUGGAAAGAGGACGAGGGAAAAAAAAAAAGCCAGAAGAGCUGGCUGUUUUCUUCUACCUUUUUCCCCCCUCAGUUAAUUUAUUGCUUUGAUUUCUUUACAAAGAACUGGGGAAAUGCAGUAUAUUCAACUUGUAAAACAUACUGAAGCCACCUGCAAGUAUGAAACAAGCUUUAUUAGUGGAGGAACUCAGGCAAUUUGGGUGACUGAUGAAGCAUGCAGAUAUGUAAGAGACUCAAUUAGCUUGUAUGUUCUGUGAGCUGUCUAAAAGAAAAAUCCUUACACGUUUGUAUUGUUGCUUCCUGUGAGCUGAAGCUCUGAGCAACUAUUGGAGCUAAAAAGUCUGUUUAGACCUAGAGCUCAUUUUAAUGUGUGGGUUGGUCUUUUUUUAGUAAUUUCAAUUCUUUCCUUCAGAGAAAGUCAAAUAUAAGCAGAACACAGUCAUAUUAAAAUACUAUUAGUAUACUUACACUGACUGAAUUGAAUUGCAUCCUCACUUUUGAGGACAGUAGCUAAGUUUAACAAAUGCUGUCAAAGCUAGAUGUCAGGGUGCUGCCUUUUUAAUGCACCCAAAUUUAAGCAUUAGGUUUUUUUGAUAAACAUCUUCAAGAAAUCAAAUGUUUUCAAAGUGUCUGUACUAAUUAUAUAGCCUUUAUGGCACAGGAAGUAAUGUUCAUGUAUGUUUGAAUUAAAUUGCCAUGAAGAUGAAAAUGCUGAUAGCAUUGCUUGCUAAGUUCCGUGCAAUUCACCUCUAAAAUAUAAUAAUAUGAAAUAUACUAAUUUAGCUGAGAA